UGGUGCGCUCAUCUGGCAGGAGCACAUAGUCCUCUGUGUGGUUGAAGACACCCUGUGUGCGAUGCAUCUGACGGCCACUCAAGCCUGCACCUGAAACAAAGAGACAACACAUCAGUUUACACAAUAUAUAAAUAAAGACUGCCCUCCAGCGUUUACUCCCUCUAAGUAAAGACCUCCGGGGAGGAAAGCCCAGCAUGACCAGCUUACCUGCUGCAACCUCAAGUCCAGAGAGCAAGUAAAACAUGAAACCCCCUCCACCAGCUGGCUUCUUCACCUGUGUCUGCAUGCUUGUUUUGUCUAUUAUUUUGAUUGUAUAUGUUGUACCCCUCCCCCCCACCAUAGAAUCGUUGUUAUUGGGAUGUUUUGUGAAGAAGAACAGAUUUCAGGGAUUUAAAAACAAAACAAGUGAGUGUUAAAGUCAUCUAAGGGGAUAUGUUUAGUGGUUCAUCUCACUGUAAGAAAAACCUUUCCUCUCUUCACACUGUUAAGUUUGUAAACUGAGCAAGCAAACAGUCCUAUUAAAGCUACUGGAUUUGCUACUAGCUAAUGUUGCCUUAAAGAAUUGAAAAACUGAAGAAUGAUUUCACCUAAUCUAUGACAUUAAAUGUGUGAACAUUUAUUGCUAUCUGUAUUUCUCUCCAUAAGUAAUUCAUAUCCCCACGGUGUCACUUGAUUUAAAUAAAUAGAUCUAAAUAAAGUUCACUAAAAGUAUGAAUGAAUUCAUAAAAGUCACCAGGUAUUUACAGCCAUGAUCAUUUGAAUUUGUUUCCAAAUUUCUUUGUUUCCAUCUUUGCUGUAGAUAAUUGCACUGGUCCGUUACUUCCUUUGGUUUUGCCAAGAAUUACAAAAUAAUAGAAAGUUGAACAUUUGGAACCAGAGACAUUAAAUCUUGAACACCCAACAAAAA